GGGAAGUUGGCUUAGUAGUAGAGCGCUUGCCUUGAAUGCAUGAGGCCCUGGGUUCGAUCCCUUAGUACCA
rfam:Dipodomys ordii contig_41463, whole genome shotgun sequence.